CAGUAAGGAUCGGCACCAUGAAAUCUGGAAACAAGUGGGACAGGAAGCACAACCUCGCCAGAGAAAGCCAAGGAAGAAGCGGGAAUCAAAUGAUCGAUAGUAGGAAGCUUACUGAUACAAGGUCCGAGGAUGUUUGUGCUUUCCAUGGCGAGGAAAAUGAUAUCUAAGAUGCUCAGAAAUGCGCCACACCUUGUUUAUCGAUUCGCACAA